GAAUUGACGGGGGCCCGCACAAGCGGAGGAACAUGUGGUUUAAUUCGAUGAUACGCGAGGAACCUUACCCGGGCUCGAACGGCGCGCGAAGCGGGCGGAGACGCCCUCGCCCCUCGGGGCGCGCGCCGAGGUGCUGCAUGGUUGUCGUCAGCUCGUGCCGUGAGGUGUCGGCUCAAGUGCCAUAACGAGCGCAACCCCUGCCGCCAGUUGCCAACAGGCAAAGCUGGGGACUCUGGCGGGACUGCCACCGCAAGGUGCGAGGAGGGGGGGCAUGACGUCAAAUCAGCACGGCCCUUACGUCCGGGGCGACACACGUGUUACAAUGGCGGCCACAGAGGGAAGCCACCCCGCGAGGGGGCGCGGAUCCGAAAAAGCCGCCUCAGUUCGGACUGGAGUCUGCAACCCGACUCCACGAAGCUGGAUUCGCUAGUAAUCGCGCAUCAGCCAUGGCGCGGUGAAUACGUUCCCGGGCCUUGUACACACCG
rnacentral:rRNA from 1 species